AACUCGGCCAUUUAGAGGAAGUAAAAGUCGUAACAAGGUCUCCGUUGGUGAACCAGUGGAGGGAUCAUUACCGAGUUUUCAACUCCCAAACCCCUGUGAACAUACCAUUUUGUUGCCUCGGCGGUGCCUGUUCCGACAGCCCGCCAGAGGACCCCAAACCCAAACUUCCUUGAGUGAGUCUUCUGAGUAACCGAUUAAAUCAAUCAAAACUUUCAACAACGGAUCUCUUGGUUCUGGCAUCGAUGAAGAACGCAGCGAAAUGCGAUAAGUAAUGUGAAUUGCAGAAUUCAGUGAAUCAUCGAAUCUUUGAACGCACCUUGCACCCUUUGGUAUUCCGAAGGGUACGCCCGUUUGAGUGUCAUUGUAAUCUCACCUCUGCGACUUUUGUUGUGUGAAGUGGACUUGGGCAGUGUCGUGUAAUGACGACUGGCCUGAAAUGCAUGAGUGUACCCUGCUGUCACAGCGUAUUCAGUGUGAUAAACAUCUUCACUGAUUCAAGUUCCUUUGGGACACGCAAGCGAUGUGGGCUCUGCGCUGCCAACCGUCUUUGGACAGCCUUGACAAUUUGACCUCAAAUCGGGUGGGACUACCCGCUGAACUUAAGCAUAUCAAUAAGCGGAGGAAAAGAAACUAACAAGGAUUCCCCUAGUAAC
rnacentral:rRNA from 1 species